AGAUUCACCUGGGGGAGAUUUAACCCUCUGUAGGGGGCAGAAUAAUAGUCCUCCCCCAGAACGUCCAGACCCUAAUCCCGGGAACCUGAGAACAAUGUGUCACCAUCAAAAAGGACUUUGCAGGUGUAAUUAGGUUAAGGUCAUUGAGAUGUUGAUCGAGUUCUGCAUGAUCCAGAUGGGCCCAAUAUAAUCACCUUAAAGGUAGAGGAGGAGGUCCGAGUGAGGUGACGUGAGGAGGUCUCCAUCCACCUUCACUGGCUGGGAAGACGGAGGAAGGGGCCGUGAGCUGACGAAUGGGGGCGGCUUCUAGAAGCUGGAAAGGUUUUUAAGCUGGGACAUCAGUCUUGUCCUACCUUCAGACUCAGACUGGAAGCCCACCAUCAACUUCCCUGCAUCUGCAGAUUGCUGACUGAAAAAGAGAUUGGAACGUCUCAGCCUCCAUAAUCACGGCUGGAGUAUAGCAACGUCCUUGAAAACUGCCUAGUUGCACAGGGCUCUCUGCCCCGACAUCAAGCGGCACAUAGCACAUAUUGAGCUCCGCGUGGAUCAUCUGGUUAAUUCUCCAACACCCACUGAGUGACGACACCUAAAUCUCACAUGGAGUCAUGGCAUUCUACGUGCCUGGGAGAUUCUAGAUGCCCUGGAGAUUCUAGUUUGGGAAGGCUGGCAUGAGGCUCUGAUAGCUGAUUUUUUAAUAAAGCUCCAGAGACGAUUCUGCUGCAUAGUAGGUUUGAUUAUCAUCUGAUGAGUUUCGAUUUUCAUGUAAUACUUCUUUUUGAGUGAUGCUGGCCUUGACUGUGUCAUCACUUGAGUGUCUAAUAACUCUUGAGUCUUCAAUAA